CUACCUGAACCUGAACCAGACACGAGUCUGAUCCGUUUGGCAUCGGCAAGCCCAAAUAGGAGGGCAUGGUUGUUUAGAAGAGACGAGGGCUAGAGCCAGCGGCGGGAGAGAGCGAGACCAUCACAGAGACAGCUAAGUCCCCUCCUGUUCCCUGACUAAGAGGUGAUGACCACUCCACUACCAUUGGCAACUCUCUCCUGACAUGAACUGAAGCCACGUCUUAUGUGCCCACUCAUCCACUGGCACAUUGAAUGUUUCCCCUCCAAGCACUUCAAAUCCUGUCCUGAAGUCAAGCCUCUGAACAGCUCAACUCAUGCUUCAUACCCUCAUUCAAUCGCUGCUGUGGUCCCUCCCAACACAGUGUAAGUAGCCCUCUCAUUCCCAUUCCCCAUAAUAUUGUACUAUAAAUGUCUUUAUUAUAUGCUUUAGGUUAAAAUAAUUUGUCUUUGAUGGUUUUUGAAACAGACUUUGUCAUCUCUGUGCGUUCUGCGCCUAUACCGUGGAUCUCCCAUCCUCCUACAUUUUUCAUGUCACCAGCCUCCACUGUACGGUAGAAUAGUACUGUAGAAUAAGUAAUUAAAGCAUUUAUGAAGGUUACUGUUUGUAAGACAGAGAGGGGCUGUUGGAAAUGGUACAAAAAGAGCGUCCUUUUCACACUUGACAUCCAAUUUGUCUUGUUUUUCCAGAAGUGGCUUUUAUGAUUCACGGAUUCAAAGCCCAGAGAGAUUAGAGGGGAGGAUGUGACAGCUGGCGGGGUGUGUGUGUGUGUGUGUGUGUGUGUGUGUGUGUGUGUGUGUGUGUGUGUGUGUGUGUGUGUGUGUGUGUGGUUGUGUGUAUGUGUGUGUGGUUGUGUGUGUGUGGUUGU
rnacentral:lncRNA from 1 species